CCUAGCCUAUCACACUGUCGCUCACUCUGCCAAGGCAGUAUGAUAUCAUUAUUUGCGAACUUCGAACUAGUUUUGGUUCGUAUUUCUAGCACUGAGCUUCAUAAUUUUCGAAGAAUGGAUAUGUUAUUGUGCUUAGUUGUAUGAUUCUUUCUAUUUCUCUAUUUUUUUUUUCUUCUACGUUUUAUUUCGGGACUAAAUGGAUUUUUUUUGAGCAUAUUCAUUUGAAUAUAACAGCCAAGAAUUUGCCAUCGAAUUUUCGAAAUGAAUUUUUCGGCAACAAUAAAAUAGUUUCCACUAGGUGCAACUUAAAGCCCAUGGAUAAUAUCAACGGAUGUGUGAAAGAAUUUGGCAAUUCAACAAAUUCUAAGUGAAACAGUCGGAAAUUAUGACCUUCAGGAAAAAGGUAUGUUUGCUAGAAAAAAUUUGUAUUCCAAUUUAGCUAAUUCAGUAAGGUGCCAUUUACCAAGAAUAAGAAAGGAAUUUCAAAAAAUGCUGAAAGUCUUUCUUCUGUUAUGGUGAAGAUAAAACUAAAUACUACACGCAUGAGAGCGGAAAAUGAUUUUCUAAGAAGGGGAUGAUUAGCUGGAAUAAUCACUAAUAUUCCAUUUCAUAAACACAUUCUUAUGAUUACUGAGACUUAUAAAAAAAUUUUCCUGCCAAUGACUGCAGAAGAAAAGUUCGAAUGUUAUUUUAGUGAUAGUAUGGGAUCUGCAGAAGCAACCAAAUACCACAAAGAAAUUCCGGAGGUGAAAUCCAAUUUCCAUCCAAGUCAUCUGGCAAAUAGUAGGAUUAAUCCCAUUAAAGAGCAAUUGAAUAUUGCUAUGAAAAAUAGAGACUUCUUCAUCGGAUAUCUUGAAAUGGGUCUGGAGUGAUUGAGAAAAUGAGGAAAAAUGCAACAACUUAUGAAAAUAGAAUAUAGAAGUUACCUGUGAAGAAAAUCCUUUUGCUGUUGUAAUGGUGACCCCUAUUAUGAAAAGAUCUCGCAGAUUACCAAUAUUUCAAGAUAUCAUUUUUGUCGAUUCAGCUAGUUCCUGUGUUCUGCUAAGUCAUUCUGCGACUUGUGUUGCAGGAGCAGUAUUUGUGGGAAUCUUCAUCAUAAAAGGUAGACAGAAGAAUCAGAUAAACAAGUCUUUGCCUUAGUUAUGAAUAUUUUAAAAGAACCAACUUUCCAUCAUAAAGAGAUGUACAAGAUAAUGUCACUUGACUAACUUGAGAAUCUUACCGAAUGAAUUUAAUAAUUCAUUAUAUAGAAGUUAAAAGGGAAAAUCUUUGAAAUUGUUUUAGAGUAUGAUAAAAUAAUUUCCAGUUCUAGGUAUUAAUAAUCAGAUAUAUUUUUGAAAACAAAAUUUAGUUUUUUUUCUUUUAAAAUUGUUAUUAUUAUUAUUAAAAGAUAUUUUAAAAAUUAUAAAUAAGUUUGUGUUUAAUAAUAAAUCUGUGGUAGUUAAUUUCAAAAGUAAAAACUGGUUUUCUGCAACCAUUUUCUCCCUACAAUAUUGGAAAAGGCUCUAAGGGGUCUAGAAAUAAUAUCAUCUGAAAGAUAGUUGGAAACAAUGUUGGCAACUCUUGGCAGUAAUGUUCCUCUAAAGAGAAAGGCUGGAGCACCUGUAAGCGUGCUGCUCUGUUUCUCGAAGAGCUAUUGGAAUUACUUCAGGCAGCAAACUUCUAACAUGUGGUUGUCCAUCUAAAGGUCUUCAAGUUCCCAAAAUAAUAAAGCAUAUUCUCACCAUAAAUAUUAAAUUAAAUUCACCUAAUUUUAAAAAACAUUAGAAUGUUUUCUUAAAAAGAGCUUUGAAUGAUUUUUUUUCAAUUUUUAUAUGCACACAAAUUAAUUACACACAAUUAAACAAUUAAGUUUAUUACAAAGUUAAUGUUUAUUACAAAAUGUACCAUUAAAAAUUUUAGAUUUAUUGCAAUAUUUAUUUGU